UACGUAGGGCGCGAGCGUUGUCCGGAAUUAUUGGGCGUAAAGAGCUCGUAGGCGGCCUGUUGCGUCCGCUGUGAAAUCCCAGGGCUCAACCCUGGGCGUGCAGUGGAUACGGGCAGGCUGGAGGCAGGCAGGGGAGAACGGAAUUCCCGGUGUAGCGGUGAAAUGCGCAGAUAGUCGGGAGGAACGACCGGUGGCGAAGGCCGGUUCUCUGGGCCUUACC
rnacentral:rRNA from 1 species